AUACGUAGGGGGCGAGCGUUGUCCGGAUUUAUUGGGUUUAAAGGGUGCGCAGGCGGCCAUUUAAGUCAGCGGUUAAAUCGUGGGGCUCAACCCCAUUCUGCCGUUGAUACUGGGUGGCUUGAUUGCGGUCGAGGUUGGCGGAAUUCGUUGUGUAGCGGUGAAAUGCAUAGAUAUGACGAAGAACACCGAUUGCGUAGGCAGCUGACCAGACCGCAAAUGACGCUCAUGCACGAAAGUGCGGGGAUCGAACAGGAUUAGAUACCCUGGUAGUCCGCACAGUAAACGAUGAAUACUUGUUUUCGGCGAUAUAAUGUCGGAGGCAAAGCGAAAGCGAUAAGUAUUCCACCUGGGGAGUACGCCGGCAACGGUGAAACUUAAAGGAAUUGACGGGG
rnacentral:rRNA from 1 species